CAUUUAAGUGUGUAAAUGAACCCAUCCUUGUCUCUUUCAAUUCAAAUCCACAAAAUUUACAAACUUCAAAUUUCGAUUUCACUUCUGUCGAUAGUUAUGUCUAACAAAAUAGGAAUUACUUGACAUUGUACACAAAUGAACUAGGGGUAGUUAGGUACUUGGUGAGGCUGUUAGUCAGUCAAUGAAGAAUCUCUCUCUCUAUCUAUCUAUCUAUCUCUCUCUAUAUAUAUAUAUAAAAGGAUCAUUGGAGGCUACUGAUGUGGCAUGCCCCAAUGAUCAGGAAGUCUAUUUAUUUUUUUCCUGUUUUUUUUUUGAGUUUUUUUUGUUCAAUUUUAAUUUAUUAUCAGCUAUUUUUUUAAUUAAUAAAACCCAUUAAUUAUCAUUAAGUACCAUUAAUCCAGCACAACUGCUAAUCUAGCAAAAUCGUCACCAUUAAUCCAGCAAAAUCGUUAAUCCAGCAAAAUCAUCAGUCUUUCUUCUUUUUACCUCCUCUUAGCUUUUUCUGAUUUCACCAUUUUGGCGUUGGCAUUUUCAUUUUCAUUUAUCUGUUAAAAUUGGUUCACUUUGAUUCAUUUGAUAAACCAGAGGAUAAGCAAGAACUGCUGGCAUAUGUGAAUAUGUUGCAACCACAAUUAGCAGUUCUUACAUAGGUGAAGAGCUUCUAAGCAGAGAGAUUUGUCAAUUCAACAAGUAUAUUGAUGGCGUUAUGAGAUCGCACAAGCUAGAGAUCAGGCAGUGGUAAUACUGGUAGGGGCUAUUGUUCGGGAGGAAGAAAAGAUCAGACUAAUGGAGGUUGAUACGGAAGCUCGAAUAAGAGAAGCUUCACAGAGAGAGGCUGCUACUGCAGAGGCGAAGCAACAACUGCUGGCAUAUGUGGAUAUGUUGCAAGCACAAUUAACCAGGUCCUCUAAAUUGUGCCUAAAGGAGUUUGCUUUAGGCGAAAUACUUCAGAUCUUUCACAUGAUUUUUAACAUGAAGAAGUGGCUUAUACAACCUCAAUCCGGAUGGCAACCAAUUAAGAUUACUCUUGGAGAGAUCGUCCUUGAUUCAGGGGUGGUUGCUGUAACAUAAAAUCUGCAAGAUCUGGUUAUGGCCGGAGAAAGAUGGCUUGCAUCAAAUACGGAGAUCUAAGACACCGUAGUACUUUAGUUAAGAAGGCUCUUUCCCAUUUGUUAUAUUUUAGUCUGUUCACUUUCAGCACCAUACAUUUUCAUAAAAAACGUGCUUGUACUAAUUGAUCCUUAUAGUAGAUACCAUUGUUGGUUAGACAUUUAGACUCUACCAUACAUAACUUUGAUAGCUCAUAUUCUAAUUGUUCUAAUUCUAACAGGAAAAGAGUCGCAAUUGUUAGAAGUAGACCCUCAGGCCUUGAUGAUAUGGAACAAACAAGGGAGCAUAAAAUCACACCCCAAAACAGUCCACAAAUCGUGGACCAAAUAGGGACCUCUCUCGGAUUCACCAUCUAAAACAAGAAAGAAGAGGAUACAAGGUGUUAAUACACCAAAAAAGCCAACCAACAAGUUUAGCAACACAAGAUGAAGCUCCACAAUAUUACAAUAGCAACAAGAACAAGCAGGUUACAUUAACAACACAAGAAGCCGAAACUAAAACAAGAUAUAAGAUAGUUAGUUAGACAAGUUUUGAUGUAGUCUUAACAACCCAAGAACAUAUUCCAAUCUGGGACCUUUAAAACUUUACAUAAUAAACAUCUAACUCUUAUAAUUGACACAAGAGAGGCGUCCGCCACCCAAGCACCAACGUAUCAAGCAAAAUGCAACACAAGAGAACCCACCCUUAUGUUAUGCCCUAGUUUCAAUUGAACUCUCUCU